UGUGCGCCUGGCCAGCACCCCCCACCCCGCCUCCAUGCGCAGUGAUUACAGGCUGGAUGGCACGUAGUGAGCCAGGCGAGGUCACCUUUGCACAAGCGGAGUGACUUUUCCCCCAAUCUCAUACCAGUCUGGCAGCAUGUAUGAAAAGAACGAUGAGGAUGUCAAGACUUGGAGUAGGUGACAGUUGGCCUUGGGCUUCGGUGGCCAACCCAUGACUACAAAAGCCCGAGAAGCCAGCAGCUUCCCCGGCUCCUCCACCAAGUGGCCUCUGGGUGAUGGGGAAGCUUGUCCUCUGCUUUGUCACACACAAAACUCUAAAAGUCAGCAUCCCAACGCAUCGGCCUGGAGAGCCCGUCCAGGAGGAUUUAUGUGGAAUCUGGCUUUUCUGAUAGCAUCGACGUUCCUUCCCGUGCCUUCUGAGUCUGUUUCUCUUAAUUUGACUGUGGUCUCUGCUCUUCGCUGGACUCACUGCGGCAUAUUUCUGGGAAUGCGAAGCACAUUUGAGCGACGUGACAUUCCUUACCUCGCGGCAGCAAGGCAACUGCCCACUUCCUUUCGAGUCAUGUUGCAUCAUCUUUCAGAACAGGACUAAACAAAUAGUCUCGAUACAUGGCUUUAGGAAAGAAAAGCAAGUGUGCACGUUUGAACCCCACCCUCUCCGUGUGCUAGGGCACGAUUCUCCUGCCCCCGAGGGAGAGAGGGCACACACCGUUGUGGUUAGUCUCCUGCCUUUCCACAGAUAAGAACCACGUAUAUGUGUUCUAUGCGCAUCUCAUAAUCACAAAAAAGAGGCAUGUGACAUUCAAUAUAGGUGUGUUUCCUAACACAUGUGUCAGAGGCGUCUAUGGCUACGUCAGUUCUAGUGAUGGGCAUUGCAGUUUUUAAAAUUCCUUGUCCUUGUCAUCUUGGAAUAAGUCACAGGAAAGGUAAAUGAUCUGUGUAAACCCUUUGGCCUGUGGAUCAACUUUUAUACAUCUAAACCUGGGAAAAAAUGUUAUUUAUUAGCAAGAGAGUGAACAAACAUUUCAAGCUUGCAGAGGGAAGCUGGGGGUGCAGAGAGGAUGCAAAAGUGAACAGAACGGGCAUCUGUUCUCAAGAGGCUGCAGGGUCAUGGUGGAGACAGAGCCCUGUGGAGCAGGAUGCGUGGGCAGUGGACAGUGCACCAAGUGUUUGCUCAGGGGAGCGGGACCCAGAGGGGACCUGGAAAUACAAGCUCCAGGAGGGA
rnacentral:lncRNA from 1 species